rnacentral:sRNA from 1 species
GCCAGGAACAGUGGUGCAUGCCUGUAAUCCCUGUGUCUGGGGAGGCUGAGGCAGGAGGAUCACGAGUUCAAAGCCAGCCUCAGCAAAGGCGAGGUACUAACCAACUUGGUGAGACCCUGUCUUCA